UCUUACAAAUACAGGGCACAGAUAUGGUAGAUUUUUCUUUAGGACACUUUCCUGCAUCACCUGGGACCCUGUUUACAAUGUGGCCUUGCAUUUCUAAGCUCCAAAGUGCAACCAAAGCCGAAGUCAAGCUUGGAACAUUAUCUAUUCAGGCGUGGAAACCAGUUGGACCAAAGAGGAUGCCCCCAUCUCAACUUUGGAAAAGCUUUCAACAAGAACAAGUGACAUGUAUUAUGAUUAUGAUACCAUCACCAACAACAUUACAGCAGUAAUGGUGCUGUUUUAGAAGGACAAUAAUUAAGUUAUUAGUAUGCUCAGUAUCAGGAAAAUGGAUUUUUAUAAGCAAGCAUCAUAUGUAAUCUAAAUCUGUUGGUAUCUGCAAUAAUGUUGCAAUCUUUAAAAUAAUGGUUCAUAGGAAAAAAAUGCCCCAAAAUCUGGUAUGAAACUUAUUGAUGGAAAUGAGUAUGAUUGGAAAUAUAUUUACAACUAUAUAUAAACAGCAACAUUGACCAGUUCGUGAUACAAGAACCUCAAUCAUACUUUAAGAAAUGGUUUCUAUGUUUGUAGGUGUAAGAAAUUCAGUCUUGAACUUAAAGAUAGCAAGAUGUUGCUAAUACAAAAAGUUCAAUAUUACACAGCAAAGUAGUACCCUAGGUCGGCUAGGUGUACGAAAUUUGGUCUUGGUGUAUAAGAGUAUAUUAAUCUCAGAUGUAAGAGAAUAUCUUUAGGCAAUAAGAAGUGUGCUUUUGAUUUAAGAAAGUUACUCUUGUUGUAAGAACAAUUAAGAAAAUAUUUCUAGCAAUAAGAAGUGUGCUCUUGAUGUAAGAAAGCUAUUCCUGAUAUAAGAAAUUUAAUCUUGGUAUAAGAACACCAAUCUUGAAAGUAAGAAAAUAUUUCUGGGAAUAAGAAUUGUGCUCUUGCUGUAAGAAAGUGACUCUUGCCAUAAGAAAUUUAGUCUUGGUAUAAGAACACCAAUCUUGAAAGUAAGAAUAUAUUACUAGCCAAUAAGAAUUGUUGUCUUGAUGUAAGAAAGUUAUUCUUAAUAUAAGAAAUUUAAUCUUGGUAUAAGAACACAAUCUUAAAAGUAAGAAAAUAUUUCUAGCCAAUAAGAAUUGUGCUCUUGAUGUAAGAAAGUUAUUCUUGUUAUAAGAAAUUUAAUCUUGGUUUUAAGAAUGCCAAUCUUGAAAAUAAGAAAUAUUUCUAGGCAAUUAGAAUUGUGCACUUGUAGUAAGAAAGGUAUUCUUGUUGUAAGAAUAGCAUUCUUGGAAAUAAGAAAUGUAUCUAGGCAAUAAAGAAUUUUACUCUUGA